CUACGGGGGGCACCAGUGGGGAAUAUUGCACAAUGGGCGCAAGCCUGAUGCAGCCAUGCCGCGUGUAUGAAGAAGGCCUUCGGGUUGUAAAGUACUUUCAGCGGGGAGGAAGGGAGUAAAGUUAAUACCUUUGCUCAUUGACGUUACCCGCAGAAGAAGCACCGGCUAACUCCGUGCCAGCAGCCGCGGUAAUACGGAGGGUGCAAGCGGUAAUCGGAAUUACUGGGCGUAAAGCGCACGCAGGCGGUUUGUUAAGUCAGAUGUGAAAUCCCCGGGCUCAACCGGGGAACUGCAUCUGAUACUGGCAAGCUUGAGUCUCGUAGAGGGGGGUAGAAUUCCAGGUGUAGCGGUGAGAUGCGUAGAGAUCUGGAGGAAUACCGGUGGCGAAGGCGGCCCCCUGGACGAAGACUGACGCUCAGGUGCGAAAGCGUGGGGAGCAAACAGGAUUAGAUACCCGGGUAGUC
rnacentral:rRNA from 1 species